AGUGACAGGCCUCCCUAUCUAACUGCUCUAAAUCUCCAGGAGAGAGAGAUCUUUGUGAGUCCCUCACUGUAUUAUCAAAAAUCAACAUGUCUCAUCCCUGUCAAGACACAGAUGUGCCAAAAAUAUUGAAUGGAUCAGAGAAGCCAGAGCAGGCACCAGCCAGCCUGCUGUGGCUGCUUUUGUCCACUUUGAGUUAGACUGCUGAUGUGAAGCUAUGGUCUCCUUGCUAUGGCAAAGAAUAAGAAAAAGGAAGGAAUUGCAGAUGGUUGAUGUAUCGUCUUCUGAAGCCCUCACUCCUCAUUCUUGUCUUUCUUAUGGAGAGAGGCAGAAAGUGAACGAAGAUAGCACUAAACUCUUUCCCUGUAUUACUCAAACUAAUUAUUUUUUCCUGUGUAACAAGUUUAGCUUGUUAAAACCCCUCAUUUUCUGAAUACUACUCAAAAUAGCAGAAACUCUUUCCUUUAAGUGAUAUUUUUGCCUUGUGCAAUUCUUAAUGUUGUUUUUACCCAUUGUCAUAAUGCCUGUUUUUGUAUGGAUUUUAUGUGUUUGAGAUGCACAGUGAAAGCACAGCUGCUAAUUUGUUCUGGCAAUUUGGCUGGAAAUUGCCAGGUACUGAGCACUCCCAGACGUUUUAAUGGAAAGUUUCAGCUGGACGGUCUCCAGGGUGUGCUUAUUUUGUUUAAACUGGUUCAGUCAUUUCUCACAAUUUCUAAAGCUCCCAGCUUGUUACUUUUUCAAGUACAGAUUCAAAACCACAUCUCUCUCUUGUUAGUAUUUUUAUUAAAAAUACUUAGUUGUCAGAUUUUAAUUUACAGUGUGAUUUCUUGCAAUUAAUGGUAUCUUUAAGAAACAG
ensembl:lncRNA